UUACUACCGCAUUGAAACUCCCCAAAGAUCACUACUUCUUCUAGCAUUUAAAUCCCCCGCCCCAGUGAUGUCACCAAUGACCUAUAUUCUCUCAAGGACGGAUCACCCAGCUUGUCAAACGCCUCAAUAGGUUCUCAUCUCUCCCUUCCUUUUCCCUUAUACUGCGCCAACUUCCAUGGGUGUGAGGAUGAGGGAAGGUCAGGUAAAGGGUGUAAGGGGGUGUGGGCGUGGGUGUGGGGUGCGUGCGGGCGCGGGGAGGGCGUGGAAAGGGCGGGGAGAUGAGGGCUAUGGUGAGGGUUGGUAGCUGUGUGGGUUUGAGACUUAGCGGUACUUGUGAACGGCCGCGGGAAAGUGAGUGUGUGUGUGUGUGUGUGUGUGUGUGUGUGUGUGUGUUGGGGUAUACAUAUAUGUGUGUGUAUGUAUGCUUAUGUGUAUGAAUAUCUUAUCCUCCUCAGCUUCCUCCCUUUCCUCCCUUCCUUCCUUCAAUCCCCGUCUCUUUUCUCCCCGUUUUCUUCUCCCUCUCUCUCUCUCUUUCAGCUUUCCCGUCUCGCUUGCUCGCUCUCUCCCUCCUCCUCCUCCUCCUCCGCCUCCUCCUCCUCCUCCUCCUCCUCCUGUGUGCAUCUCUUCUCUCCCACAGCCACAGUUUCCACAGGUUGGCUUGUCUUGGUCCAUUUCCCUCACGGCUGUGUUCUGUCACGCCGUCAGGGGAGGCAGAGGCUAUAUGUCUGUCUGUGUCUGUGUGUCCGGCGUACUGUAGGUCGGUCAGCUGGUCUGGUCUCCCUGGUCCCCUCUGCUCCUCCUCCUCCUCCUCAGUCGAACUCAGACAGUGACACAGUGAGGAUGUACGCCGCGAAUCGCUCCUGACCAGACUACUCGAUGCCUUGCUCUGUUUCCUUGCCGUGUGAUAUGUUGAAGUGAAUGUCGAAUCCGAAAUCAAAGGAAAAGGAUUGGGACUUCUUGAGGCUUACCUACGGCCUUACCAAGCCUCUCUGACCCCAUACGCCCUUGUUAGCUAAGGCAGGUCCUCCCCAGUGCCUGUUUGAACCCCCUUUCUCCUGUAUUUUUGUGUUUGUCUGUUGGUCUGUUUGUCUGAUCUCAUGAAGAGGCCCAGAACGCUUUGGUAGCAUUUCGCAUCUUCGUGUGUGUGUGUGUGUGUGUGCGUGCGUGUGCGUGCCCCUCGUCUGGUGCCCCUCCCCGUGCCCAUGGUUCUUCAGGUUCAUGCCGCCCCCCUCUGCGCCCCCCUCGCCAGUUGUAAGCAGGUGCUGAUGGCUCAUUGGCUGAUGCUGACGAUAGCCCUGCUCCUGCCGCCCCCGCCACACGCCGCCGCCGCCCGCGUCCUCCCCCGCAGCCUGGGCCUUUACGGCACGACUUUUGGUCUCAGCAACGACAGGCGCCUCAAGAUCGAGCCCCGGGGAUGUGAUGUACCGGGCGGCCAGCAGGGGGUCGCGGCGGGGGGCGUGGGAGAGGUGCGGGGGCUCUGUAUGUUCAACUUCGAGUGUUUCCAACGGGGCGGCAAAGUGGUGGGCGCCUGCAUUGAUGGGUUCCUCUUCGGGGCCUGUUGUGUGAUGCCUCUGGAAGGGGGUGAAGAAGGAGGAGGAGGAGGAGGUGGUGUGCUAAGAGAUGAUGUGAAAGAAGAAGAAGGAAAUGGAGAAGAAGCAGAAGGAGGAGGAGGAACUAGUGAUGUUAGAAUAAAGGAAGACGAGGAGAAGGAGGAAGAGGAGAAGGUGGAGGAAGAGAACGUGAAGGAAGAAAAGAAGGGAGUACCAGAAAAAGCAGAAGUAGGAGGAGGUGGAGAAGGAAAUGGAGUAGAGAAAAACACCACUACCACCACCACUACCUCCACCACCACCACCUCCACCACCUCCACCUCCACCACCACCAAACCCUCAAAUAACAGUGGUGAUGAAGCCGUGGUAAUGAACGGUGAUACCAGCCCAACACCAACACCAUACCACACAGACAUCGAACACACCACUACAGAAAACCCACAACAGCCCGAUAACCUCGCUACGACCCUUCCUCCUGACGACCUCCAGACCGAACCAGUGCCAGUCAUGACCUUUCCCGAUGACCUAGAAGGGAUGACCACUCUGCAGAUGCCAGGAUUUGACGUCACGGAUGAGUCCCUUAAGGAUAUUGAAGAGAAUCCUACGUCUUCUACUUCUUCGGGGUCUUCGUCAGUUGGUAUAAGUCUCAGUAGCCAUAGGACCUCACGGAGACCUCAAGCAACCACGCCUAUGUCUACUGGGUCAUCCACGUCCUCGUCAUCCACGCCGUCUCCUCCAGUCAUCCAUCUUCUGACCUCUGAUUCCGCCACCCCCAAACCGGUUGAUAUUUUAAUGGAAACUAAUUUUAAUAUGUCGAUUCUCCGCUCUCCUGAUGAUGACGAGGAUGAGGUUAGGACGAGUACGACUCCUACGACGACUGAGUUUACCAGAUCGACGUUCCAACCACGACCUGAGAUGUUCCAACCAAGACCAGGGAUGGUUACAACGACAGAUGCGACUUACGACCAAUACCUCGCAGAUACGACCACUACGACUACCUCAAAGCCUCCACGACUACCUGAACGGCAUACGACAGCCUCCACGACUUCUCCGGGUAGUUUCGUGACCCCUACGCCGCCUACGACCACUGAAACGACCACGGACGAUGAAAUGCUGAUAUGGACGUUAGCACCUCAGACUCCGAUACUCGAGAUACGACCACACACCAUACCCACGACUACGACUACAACUGAGGACGGCGAAAACGACAAUCAGGACGACUCUCUCCUCAUCUGGACGCUCUCCCCGCAGCCUCCAAUCUUAGACGCACGACCCCAAACGACAGCACCGGAUAAGGACGACCCAAUGGCGUUCUGGACGACUAGACGACCAACCACGAGGAAUCCAGAAUCAGAGGAACCGCAAAUGAUAUGGACGACGAUCACUACGACUUCGCCACGACCAGAGGGGACACAUGACGACGACGACUUGUACCUUGAGCCUGCGGUCGUACCUGGCGAUGUUCUGCAGCAUAUCACAGGGGACUUACUUGAACGACACCCCAACUCAACGACUCCUGGGUUUAGUACGACCAGGAAUACGACCACGCGACCCUGGGCCUCCUCAACCUACCCCAUACACACGAUCCAAUACCCCGAACCACACGACAACACGAUUUACGACCCUCAAAAUGUACCGACCACCACUACGACCACUACGACCACUACGACCCCCACUACGACCCGCAUUACGACCACUAGGAGACCGAAACCUCAUAGAAAGCGGAAAACUACCACUACUACCACCACUACGACCACUACCACCACCCCCCGCCCCCCACCCACCACCGAGCCCCCUAUCUCCCCCAUCGAUCAAUUUAUUGUGGACUUCAUCAACUCUUCACCACCCGAGGAAGAAUUCACCACCACCACCGCCUCCCCCUCCCCCUCCUCCUCCUCCUCCUCUUCCUCCUCCUCCUCCUUUUCCACGCCUGAUCCUCCUCCUCCAAUUGAUCUCCAGCUACUGACACAGCUGUUCAACCUGACCAACUUUGUCCCGGGCGAGGAGGUGCUCUUCCCCCCCCUCCCCUCCCUCAACCCCCCCACCACCACCACGACCAGACGACCCCCUCCCACCAUGACCACCAGGAGACCGUCACGUCCUCGCCCACGACCACCACGACCGACCUCUCCAAGCAUACGACUACCACUCUUGACCACCACCCAGCCCACGACUACCACCACUACUACUACGACUACCACUACGACUACUACUACGACUACUACGACCCCGACUACGACACGUCACUGGGAUUACAGGAAGACGUGUGGGGUGAGGCCGUUGGCGAGGGAGGGGCGCAUCGUGAACGGGGAGCUGAGUGAGUACGCGGAGUGGCCGUGGCAAGCCCUGGUCAAAGAGUCGACUUGGUUGGGCAUUUUCACCAAGAACAAGUGCGGCGGUGUGCUGCUCAACCGGCGAUAUGUGCUGACGGCCGCCCACUGCCAGCCCGGCUUCCUCGCCUCCCUCAUCGUCGUGUUGGGGGAGUACGACCUCUCCGACGACUACGAGCCUAAGAGUGUCGUGCAGCGGAACGUGAAGAGGGUGGUCGUUCACAGGGGCUACGUGGCUAAGACCUUCGACAACGACCUGGCCUUGCUCGAGAUGGAACGACCCGUCUCCUUUGAUGAACAUAUCGUGCCAAUCUGCCUUCCGGAGGGACAUGACGACUACGUGGGCAGUAUGGGCUUCGUGACGGGAUGGGGCAGGCUGUCCUAUGGAGGCCCCGUGCCCGCCAAGCUGAACGAGGUGGCGCUGCCCAUCAUUGAGAACAACGAGUGCCAGCGGUGGUUCAAUCAGGCCGGCCACGCCAAGAACAUCAAACCCGAGUUCUUCUGCGCCGGCUACAAGGAUGGGAAGAAGGACUCGUGUGAGGGUGACAGCGGCGGGCCCUUGUCGGUAAGAGGACCUGACGGGCGUUGGGUGCUGGCGGGGACGGUCUCGCACGGCAUCAAGUGUGCCUACCCCAACCUGCCCGGCGUAUAUAUGCGGAUGACGUACUACCGGCCCUGGAUAAGGAGUAUAAUCAAUUGACGACGGAGACUGUAUAGGUAAAUUUAGGAGUGUCUACCGUAGUACUGUCUGUAAGGGAGUAGGAAGUUGUUGUUGGCGUUUUGUAUAUGUAAAUUUUGGAGUGUGUCUGCCCUAGUACUGUCUGUAAGGGAGUGGGAAGUUGAUAUUGGAGUUUUGUAUAUGUAAAUUCAGGAGUGUGUCUGCCGUUGUGUUGUAUGUAGUGUUGUUUCUAAGAGUAUAAUUAACUAUGUGGCUGUAUAGGAGCUUGUAUAUGUAACUUUAGGGUAUAUGUGUGUUGUAAUUUGAGAAAGGGAUGUUGCUGUACUUGUUUGUGUAGAUAUUCGAUUUGUUAGUGUGUUUCUGUGUGGGUCGCUUGCUGUAGUGAUUCCGUUUGUGUUGUAAGAGUAUAUAUAUAUAAAUGACAUUGAAGUUUGUAUAGGUAUUCAUAGGGUGUGUGUCGUGUGUUGUACUUGUGUUGUGUGUGUAGGGGUUCUGUGUUGUACUUGUGUUGUGUAGAUGCUUGAUUCCUCAGUGUGGUUCAUUUAGUAUGUUGUUUGUUUGUACUAAAGGUAAUGUGUUGUGUGUGUGAGUGUGUGUGUGUGUGUGUUGAGACAAGAUUAGUGUGUGUAAUUAGACUGUAAGUAUUGGUAUCAUGUAUAUUGCUGUAGUAGUAGUAGUAGUAGUAGUAGUAGUGAGGGUAUUGCAGUAAAUGAUGAUGAUGAUGAUGAUGAUGAAAGGGCUGUUGUUGUUGUUGUUAUUGUUAUAGUGCUGUUGUUACCAUGUGUUGUAUUAUGUUGUGAAGUAUUACCAAUCAGGGUGUAUUACUGUUAUUAUUAUUAUUAUUAUUAUUAUUAUUAUUAUUAUUAUUAUUAUUAUUAUUAUUAUUAUUAUUAUUAUUAUUAUUAUUAUUAUUAUCAUUUUUAUUUAUUUUUUGGACAUUUAUAUAUACCCUUUCCUUGCUCAGGUGUGUGUAUGUGUGUGUGUGUGUGUGUGUGUGUGUGUGUGUGUGUGUGUGUGAGGAAAAACAAACUGAAUAUAGACAAAAUAAAACUCAAUACUACAAUGAAUAAGAAAAAAAGAAAAAAAAACAUUGUAUAGAGAAAGUAAAAAAAAAUAAUGCAGAGAAAUUGCAAUGAAAGUGAAAGAUAAUGAUGAUGACGAUGAUAGUGAGACCGUGACAAUGAAGAUGGUGUGUGUGUGUGUGUGUGUGUGUGUGUUAGUGCGUGUGUUGGUGUUGUGGAAAGCUUAAAAAAAAAAGGAAAAAAAUGUGAAGGAAAGAUAAAAGCGUAGAAACCCAUUGAGGAGAAAGUUUGUGAAGAGAAAUGACUUAGAGGAAUGUUGAGAAUAGAAGAAAGGAAAGUAGAAGAGAAGAAUGAAGAGGAGGAAGAAGGAAGGAGAAGAAGAGUAAGAGAAGGAAGAAGGGAAGAAAGAAGAUUAUAGUGUGUUGAGGAGAAAGUGUGUGAAGAGAAACGCCUUAGAGGAAUGUUGAGAAUAGAAGAGAGAAAGGUAGAAGAGAAGAAUGAAGAGAAAGAAGAAGAGUAAAGAAGGAAGAAGCAAAGAAAGAAGAUUAUAAUGUGUUGAGGAGAAAGUGUGUGAAGAGAAACGCCUUAGAGGAAUGUUGAGAAUAGAAGAGAGAAAGGUAGAAGAGAAGAGUGAAGAGAAGGAAGAAGGAAGGAGAAGAAGAGUAAAGGGAGAAGCGAAGAAAGAAGAUUAUAAUGUGUUGAGGAGAAAGUGUGUGAAGAGAAACGCCUUAGAGGAAUGUUGAGAAUAGAAGAGAGAAAGGUAGAAGAGAAAGAAGAAGGAAGGAGAAGAAGAGUAAAGAAGGAAGAAGCAAAGAAAGAAGAUUAUAAUGUGUUGAGGAGAAAGUGUGUGAAGAGAAACGCCUUAGAGGAAUGUUGAGAAUAGAAGAGAGAAAGGUAGAAGAGAAAGAAGAAGGAAGGAGAAGAAGAGUAAAGGGAGAAGCGAAGAAAGAAGAUUAUAAUGUGUUGAGGAGAAAGUGUGUGAAGGGAAACGCCUGAGAAGAAUGUGGAAUAGAGAGGAAAGUAUAAAAAGGAAGAGUGAUAAAGAGGAAGAGGAUGGAGAAGAGUAAAAGAGGAAGAAGCAAAAGAAAAAAAGAAGAUAAAAGAGAGUAAAAGGAAAAUUAAUUGAUAAAUGAAGGAAAGAGAAGAAUUUAAGUGUUAUAAUAAAUUGAAAAAAAUAUAGAUGUGUGAUUUAAAGAAGACCAACACACUACUACUACUACUACUACUACUACUACUACUACUACUACUACUACUACUACUACUACUACUACUACUGCUACUCCUACUACUACUACUACUACUACUACUACUACCACUACAAUUACUACUACUACAAUUACUACUACUACUACUACUACAGUUACUACUACUACUUUCCUCUUGAUGUUCCGAAAGAUAAUUGGCAUUUCUCUUCUUUUUCUUUUCUUUUUAUUUCUUUUUUUUCUUUUCUUAAGUUUGAGAAAGAGCAACAAAGUUCGGAAAGGAAGUUUGUCGGUAAAAAUUUGAAGAGAGAGAGAGAGAGAGAGAGAGAGAGAGAGAGAGAGAGAGAGAGAGAGAGAGAGAGGAAAAAAGUAGUAAUAGUAGUAGUAGUAGUGAUGUCCGUGUGUGUGUGUGUGUGUGUGUGUCCAUGUUGUAUUAUACCUUCUCAAUCUUCAAAUGGAAAAAAUAAAAUAAAAAAUAGA